UUUUUGGCCAACCCAAUUCUUGGGUUCUAGGUCCCAGUUCUACUGCAAAUGGUAUCAUGGUCUCUUAUCAUCAAGAGAAGACUUCAGUUCCUGUUCUUGAUGCUGAGCUUUUUAUACCACCAAAGAUCAACAAAAGAACCCAGUGGAAACUGAGCCUUCUAGAGUGACUCUGACCCCAGUUAGGAGGGCUCUGGCAGAGAAGGCUGUUUUCCUUCCACUCCUCACUCCUCGAGGCCUGGCUGUUGGGAAGUGGGAAGAGUAAGACCAUCUACCUUAGCAUUACGGAGAGCUGCUCUGUACAGCAGACCUCAGCAGACACCAAUUCUAUUUUAUUUUGCAUAUAAUUUUAAUCAUUAAGCAAGACUUUAAGCUUUAACCCAUAUAGCACCAUUUUGUAAAAAUUACUGUUCUUUUACUUAGUGCUUAUUGAGAGCAUAUUUCUGGUAUUUAUGGUAAUCAGGACAUUGGGUUUCAUUCCCAGCUACAGGUUGGAAUCAUACUGGAACUGUAGACAAAUCACAGAAUUGAUUUGUGCCUCAGUUAAUUGGGAAUGUUUCGUGGCUGCUACCUCAAAAGUGUGAA